rnacentral:rRNA from 1 species
CGAAGGUGGCAAGCGUUAUUCGGAUUUACUGGGCGUACAGGGAGCGUAGGCGGUUCGGUAAGCCCUUUGUGAAAUCUUCAGGCUUAACCUGGAAAAGUCGGAGGGGACUGUCGGGCUAGAGGACGGGAGAGGAGCGCGGAAUUCCCGGUGUAGCGGUGAAAUGCGUAGAGAUCGGGAGGAAGGCCGGUGGCGAAGGCGGCGCUCUGGAACGUUUCUGACGCUGAGGCUCGAAAGCGUGGGGAGCAAACAGGAUUAGAUACCCUGGUAGUCCACGCCUUAAACUAUGAAUACUAAGUGUCGGCGGGUUACCGCCGGUGCCGCAGCUAACGCAUUAAGUAUUCCGCCUGGGAAGUACGGCCGCAAGGUCG